AGCUGGUCCAAGGGCAGCGGUGUUUACAACUAACUGAUCACAACCAGUUACAGAUUUCUUUGUUCCUUUUCCAUUCCCUCUGCUUCGCCUGACGAGCCUAAA
ensembl:Y_RNA Y_RNA Y RNA